UACGUAGGGGGCGAGCGUUGUCCGAAGUUACUGGGCGUAAAGCGCGCGUAGGCGGGUCUUUAAGUGAGGGGUGAAAGGUUCGGGCUCAACCCGGACACUGCCUUUCAUACUGGGGAUCUUGAGUGCGGGAGGGGCGAGUGGAAUGGUCGGUGUAGCGGUGAAAUGCGUAGAUAUCGAUCGGAACACCCAUGGCGAAGGCAGCUCGCUGGCCUGCAACUGACGCUGAGGCGCGAAAGCUAGGGGAGCAAACGGG
rnacentral:rRNA from 1 species